ACGGGAGGCAGCAGUGGGGAAUAUUGCACAAUGGGGGAAACCCUGAUGCAGCGACGCCGCGUGAAGGAAGAAGUAUCUCGGUAUGUAAACUUCUAUCAGCAGGGAAGAUAAUGACGGUACCUGACUAAGAAGCACCGGCUAAAUACGUGCCAGCAGCCGCGGUAAUACGUAUGGUGCAAGCGUUAUCCGGAUUUACUGGGUGUAAAGGGAGCGUAGACGGCAUGGCAAGCCAGAUGUGAAAGGUGGGGGCUCAACUCCCAAGCUGCAUUUGGAACUGUCAAGCUAGAGUAUCGGAGAGGUAAGUGGAAUUCCUAGUGUAGCGGUGAAAUGCGUAGAUAUUAGGAGGAACACCAGUGGCGAAGGCGGCUUACUGGACGAUAACUGACGUUGAGGCUCGAAAGCGUGGGGAGCAAACAGGAUUAGAUACCCUGGUA
rnacentral:rRNA from 1 species